CACGUAGGGCGCGAGCGUUGUCCGGAAUUAUUGGGCGUAAAGAGCUCGUAGGCGGCCUGUUGCGUCCGCUGUGAAAGCCCGGGGCUUAACCCCGGGUCGGCAGUGGAUACGGGCAGGCUAGAGGUAGGUAGGGGAGAAUGGAAUUCCUGGUGUAGCGGUGAAAUGCGCAGAUAUCAGGAGGAACACCGGUGGCGAAGGCGGUUCUCUGGGCCUUACCUGACGCUGAGGAGCGAAAGCGUGGGGAGCAAACAGG
rnacentral:rRNA from 1 species